CAGACAGAAAUCGAAGAGAGAGAGAAAGAGCGAAGAGAGAGAAAGGUGUAUCGAAGAAGAGAGCGAUCAGAGAGGAAAACAAAGAGAAGGGUCUUCUCAAAUUUCUGAUUCAGAAUCAUUCUGCAAGAAAUUUGAAGAGUUAAUUGGGGAAUGCGAAGCAAGAAUUUGAAGCAAUGGUGGGAGAAGCUACAUGAUGGGUCAGAGUUAGUAGUUAAAAGAAGAUUGAAGAAAAUUAAGGCUGGAAGUGUUAUGUGAUUAAAUUUUGUGUUGAAUCUGAAUUUGGUGAGCUUCAAUUAGGUCAGCCCAUUUGUAAUCUUGUUGGUUUGAACUCAAAUUUUUGUCCAAGUUUGAAUCUUUAUGCUUAGUUGAUUCAAUUUUUUGGUUCAAGUUUGAAUUCUGACCGUAAAAAUCUGAGCUUGAAGUUCAGAAUUCAAGCUUGAAUCUUUCAUUGAGGGAGUGGCAUUUUGGUUAUUGUUGAAUUUGUAUAAUACAGGUGAAAAUGGUGGGCGGUUUACUUGGAGUUGCAUGGACGUAUCUGGAUUUGGGGGUCUAGUUCAAUAAAGGGGAUGUUUGGAUGGUAAUUGUGAAUUUCGUGGUUGGUGUAGAAGAAUUUGUGAAUUAUCUUGAAUUUGGGGUUUUGGAGGGAGACUCAAUUUUAAUUGGAAGUUUGAGAUCUCAGGGCUUGGACUCGAGCCUCAAAUUACUUUAGUGUUUGAAAUUGAGGUGUUGGAGAUGAGCCAUAGCUUUGACCGUUUUAGGGUUGUUUUUAGAGGGAUUGGAUGUUUGGAAACUGGGUUAUUGGAGAUGUAGCAGCUAAAAACCCUAACUCAUUGAAGGUGCUGUAAGGUUGCGUGCAAGUUUGUGUUUCUGUUAUAUGGAUUUUUAGUGUAGAGAUAGAGAGAUAGAGACAGAGAGAAAUGCAACCACCACAUCACUAUUCGCGGAUCAAUCUUGCUGAAUUGAAAGCUCAGUUAGUGAAGAAACUUGGGCCAGAGGGGGCAAAGCAAUACUUUUAUUUCCUUCAUAUGUUCUUGAGUUUGAAAUUGAGUAAGGUUGAGUUCAAUAAGCUGUGUCUUAGAAUUAUUGGCCGGGAGAAUAUUCCACUUCACAAUCAGUUGAUUCGUUCGAUACUGAGAAAUGCUUGUAGUGCAAAGACACCACCUCCGGCCAAUCAGAAGGAUGAUGUUUUGAGACAUGGUGUGCACCUUGCCGGCAAGGAUAUGCCCAGUGACAGUCUCCUGCAAAACGGGUCCCACGCCAAUAUAGCUCAGGCUUCUGGUUCACCCUGUUUAUCAAAUGGAGGUGGUGACAUGCUGCUACCUCUCUCGCCUCGAAAGGUCAGGACAAAUAUCCGUGACCUGAAAGCUGGUGACCGUCGUAGUGCACUUGGACCUAAUGGGAAGGCUAGUUUUGCUACUCAGCUUCCUGCUGCUACUCUGUCAAGUGACUUUGGUGCCGUGUUGGAGAAUGGAGAUUUGAAUCCACCUGAUAUGAGAAGUCUACGGAAGCAAUCAGGGAGCGAAAACGAGAUCUUUGCCCCAAAUGCUGCUAAAAUGUCCAUCGUUAGGAGAUCUCUGGAUGUUUCAGCUCCUUCAUGUAGCAAAGAUCAAACUGAGUUGGUCGUCAGUGAUGAUGGGAAAGAGGCUUCAGCUAGGAGUCCACUUCGAGCUCCCCUUGGGGUUCAGUUAUGUCCUGUUAGCGUUGGUGGAGCACACAGAGCUCUGCCUCUAUCGAGUAGCAGUAGAUGUCUUGGCUCAUAUAACAAUGGUUCUUUGUUGGACAGUCUAACAUUAAGGGAACAGAUGGAGCAGAUUGCUCUCGUACAGGGUCUUGAAGGGGUUUCAGUGGAUUCUGCCAACAUAUUGAACCACAGUUUAGAUACUUACAUGAAAGGAUUGAUUAGAUCGUGCAUCGAGCUUGUAAGGCCAAGAUCAGGGCAUGAGUCAACGAAGAACAAAACCAAUAAGCAUCCCAGUUACAUGAAGCUGAUAAACGGUGUAAAACCGGGUCAUGAAUUUCUGAUGCAACAUAGUGGAAAGACGAUGGAAGUGCAAGAACAAAGAAGUCAGUCCCCCAUUUCGUUACAGGACUUUAGAGUAGCCAUGGAGCUGAAUCCUCAAAAACUUGGAGAAGACUGGCCGAUGUUGCUGGAGAAGAUAUGUACACAUGCAUUUGAAGAAUAGCGGGGAGCUCACAUUUAAUGGUUUUUCAUAGUUGAGUAAUGGUCCUAUUGGAUCUCAAGGCAUGCUUGCGCUGCCGCUCUUCUGGCCCUGGUGUGGAUUUAGUAGCUCAAAUUCAUGACCGGCCCAGGGCAAAAGCAGGAGUGUCUAUUCCAUUCUGCUUCUGGUUUCUCUUCAAUCCAAAACACCCAUUAUUAGCGACCACUGUGAUGAGCUGAAUGCACGAAUCUAAGGUUGCACUCGCUGUUGUAUCUUUAGCUUGAUCCCAAGUUCUUUUUUUUGUUUCUUUGUCCUGUAAUUUACAGUGAGAAAUUUGUAGAACAGUUUUGCAGGAAUAAUUUGUGUAGCUCAGUGGAAAAAGUGGUGGGGUUGCAUGAUACAAUAGUCUUGUGUGAGGGAGCAUUUUGUUAUAAUACUGAUCAAGGCUGAUGCUAGUAUUCAUGCGCAUGGAGCUCUACAAAUAACACAGGUCUGUGGUGGCCGGUUUCUUAUGAUGUUUAUGUUAUCAUAUUGUACUGCAUUUGACACGGGCAUGGAGGCAUUUUCGUACCGUGGCAACACUUUGCCUGAUUUAUCAGAACAAGUAUUAAUAAUGCAGCAGUUUUUUAUGAGGUUUGGCCAAAAAAGAGAAGUUAUUUUCAAAUC